ensembl:lncRNA
CGGAAGCCUGCCGAGUGGGCGGCCUUGGCCCUGGGGAGGAGGCGUGAGGCAGCGGAUGGUGGCCAGCACCUCCGCCCCCGCUGCCCUGGGCCCAGAGCCCGUCUCCCCGGCUCCGUGGGCACAGGCAGCGCUGGUCCAGCCGAGAAGAGUGCCGAGAGGCGAGGAGCUGCAGGGGUGCCGUACCAGCAGUGUGAUCCAAGAACCACCUGCAUCAGAAUAACCUGGUUUUUAAGGGCAGAUUGCUGGGGCCCUUUCAGACCUAGCAAUCAGAAACCCUCAAGCUGGAGCUCAGAUGCUACGCUGACAGGCUCUCUGUUGAUUUCCUGUUAACACCAAAGCUUAAGAACUGCGGCUCAUCCUUGGAUUAAGGGAGAAAGCAAAAUAGUGUGAGGAGGGGGAAGGGGGGACAGACCUUGAGAGGGUCUCCAUGCUCCUGGGACAACGCCUCUGGGAGCGCCGUUCCCAUCUUACAGAUGAGAAGACUGAGGAGAGCGCCCAGAACUUGCCCCACAUCUUCAUAUUAUCAUGCUCAGAAGCCCAGAAUCAGAAACCCCAUCCCUCGGACUCUCAAGGGCAUCUUUCUAGGGGGAAAUAACAUAACAAAGGCUCUGGAGUGGAAAUGAGAGCCACUGGUCCUGGGACACUUCUACCCUGGGGGCUGACACACCCGUCCAACAUCCCGCUGAGGAGGAAUGUCAGUCGGUGAUGGAGGAGGCGUAGCAGCCCACGACAGAGGGAGCGUCCUGAAAACGAGCAGAGGGGCUUCCAUGCAGGACUUCUCCCGCUCAGCCCAAACAGCUACUCUGCCACUCCUGCCCACUCCGUGUGUAAUGGUUAAGAGUUCAUGGUGGGGACACUGGGACAUGUGUGAGAGACAGAGGUAUCUUGAUAAGUAUUUUCCUUCUGCAUUGCUGCAGACGCCUUCAUGUUUUAUGUGGCUAUGUUUGGUAGUCCCUGCUGCCCUGGUAUUUUCCAUCAGAGGAAAUGUACUGGCUCUGUUAUGGCCAUAUCACCUUGGCCGCCAGCAUCACACAGGUGUUUGCGAUAGCACCCUGACCUCCUGACCUGCCGUGCUUACAGAGAAAGCACCAGCCUAGCAGCCCACACGAGGCGGUGUGACAACAAGCCUGUGUCGCCGCUGUGUGUGUGCACGGAUUCCAGCACAUUCCUCCCGUGUCUCGAGAGGCCCCUGUAUACCAAGCAGGACAGCCAGGUGGUGCAUCACCCCACCCCCUCUGGUUGACCUUCAAGGCCCUUCCGUGGGGCCUGCCCUCCUGCCCAGGGGCCCACCUGCCUGGUUGGCAGCUGCGUGGUCAACGGCAUCACAUGCCUUCAAGCGGACGGCUGGGCUGGUGCCUCAGGCCACUCUCGCCAGCCUGGACCGUUCACCUCGCCAGCCCCCUGUUUCUUCAGCUUUUCGGGGAAUAUGAUGCCACCGAAAGGGAUAAAGGAACACCUUUCCUCCACCCCACAAAAAUAUAAGGCCCAAAGGACAGAAAUCAAGGCUCACAGAAUGAAGCAGGGGGUCCCAGUGGAGGAAAGUGCUGAAUAGGCUUCUGAUAAAUGGCUCUGCUCCUUUCUCAUCUGCCUUCAGCCUUCUAACAGCACCUACUGCUGCUCUAACUGCUCCCUCUUCCUGUCUCUUCAGAUUAAACAGCCCCCGCCCGUGCCCCAAAAUUAAAUGUCUCCAGAUCUGGAUUCUUGUGCAGACCAGAGUCCCCCAUCUCCAAAUGCAUCCUGAGGAUUUCCAGCUGCCUGUCCAGACAUCUCAAACUCAGUGUCAUAGGUCUUCAACUGCUUUUACUUUACACUGUCAUUAAACUUUUAUUAAAGUGCGAUGAUAGACAUUAAAGGGUACAUAUUGUAAAUAUACGAUAUGUACUUUUCACAAACUAACACACCCAGGUAGCCAGCAGAUUGAGCAUUUCAGAAGUCCCCCUGAUCCCCCCUCCUGUGGUGACUGGUACCCUGACUUCUCUCAGUUUUAGCCUAUUUUGAACUUCGCAUAAGUGGGAUCACACAGUCUGUACUGUUCUGUGCCUGGCUGCUUUUUGUUCAACAUUACGAGAUGCAUUCAUAGCUCUGAGUGAAGUUGUAGGUCAUCCCCUCACUUUCUCUGCAACGGAAUCAUUAUCUACUCUGCCGGCGAUGGGCAAUUGACUUGUUGCCUGUUUUUCGGCUGUUAGGAGUAGAGUUGCGUUGAACUCUGUGGCACUGGUCCCUCAGUGUGGCCGUGUGCACACAUUUCUUUUGUGCACGUUCCUAAGGAGGGAUUUUUGGACACACACUUUCAGUAGGUAGUUAUCCACUCCUGUAGAUGCUGCCAGGAAGUAUCCAUGUGCGUCGCCCACCCGCAUCAUGAGUUCUGGCUCCUCCGCUCUCUAACGCUUAAUGUCACUUUUGAUUCAUCCAUCCUUCACCCCGAGCUUAUCUCUUCUUCUUCUCCAAUUAUCUCACAUUUGUGGCCUUUCUCCUUUGAUGCUGUUCUGCGGCAGGCACCAUGAACUUGUGCAGAGCCUUCCCAGGACCCGUACCUGCACAGUCUCCCUACAAGUCUGUCUCAUCAUCGCACCUUGUGGUCCACGAAAGUACAGUCGCUCCUGAUCUCCAAUUACUUUGGAGCUUACCUGUUUAUUUAUCUGGUUAUUGACACCCUGCAGACCUCGCCAAUGACCAAGCAAACCUCAUCUUUCCCUUAGGCCACGGUGCUUCCUCCCUCGCGUCAUUCUCCAAUGCCUCCGUCCUUAGCUUGUGUGGCAGGAAAUCUGUCUACUCUGUUAGCAUUUCUACAACAAACCCCAAAGCUGGAGAGUUACUGCUGGCAGAGACUACGAGAGACUGUCCCAACGCCCUUGUUUCCAAAGAAUCCCCAAGAAACUUAAGAAAAAGAACUUAAGGCAAAAGUCCUAGUGACUUGUCACAACUUUCUUAAAGUGACAAGUAUCACUUCUUAUUUGCUGGUAACUUUUAUUUGAUCUGAAAGCCAGCAGAGCUUUGGAAAUUAACUGGGUGGAGAGGAGAGGGAAUAACAAAAAGAAAUUGCAAGUUGGCUUUGAUUUUAAAACUGCUUCUCAGUGAGAGAAAUGUUCUCAUCAGCUACUGUUCUCAAACAUCUGCCAUGUUUAAAGAGGUUUUGACCGGUAGAAAGUUUCAUUACAGAGAAGCAUAGAAAUACAUGCAAGGGAAAUAGCAGGCAAAUUUGGCUUACUCCUCCCAAAUUUUAAGAAAGCAAAUAAAACUGAGUGCUUAAUGUUUGCUUACAGUUUGCUACAUUUAUUACUUGAGUGUAUACUUUACACAUGGGACCCCAAUACACUCUAAUACUGCCCAUAUUUAAAGCUUUGAGCAUAAUUUUGCUGUUUUAUAUGGUUAAUAGAUUCAUAAUUCUAUCUUUUCUUUCAUAAUGUAGUAUUAUCUUACCUCUGCUUUCUUUGAUGCUGGGUCCUUCGGUAGGGACCCAUUGCCAAGUAUUGUAUCACAAAGAAGCCAAUGUCAGAGUGCCUGUCAAUAUAGAUGCCUGAUACAAACAUGAAGGAGCGCCGCUUUCUCUGUGGAGCCGAGUGGGGUGGACUCAUGGCCUGUGAUUCACAGCACACACCCUCCAGUGCAAUCGCGAGGCUACUCACAGCCCACAAGCAGACUGAGCCUCUGUUGACUGACACUCAAGUGUCUUCCUAAAAGGCCAUUCCCUCUUUUCCAGCCUUCACUAAUGCCGCUCAAACUUGUGAAGGGCCUCAGGAGGCCCAUACCUUCAGUAAAACUCCCUCUGCCUACUCCAGACACCACUGGUAUUACCCAAAUUCUUUUAGCCCUAAAUUGUGUCCACUCAGUUUAGCACUUAAUUGCACAGCAUCUCACAUCAUGUUAGUGUUACUCACUCAGUCGUGUCCAACUCUUUGCAACUCCAUAGACUGUUAGGGCCUCCAGGCACUUCUGUCCAUGGAAUUCUCCAGGCAAGAAUACUGGAGUGGGUUGCCAUGCCCUUCUCCAGGGGAUCCUCCUGACCCAGGGAUCAAACCCAGGUCUCCUGCAUUGCAGACAAAUUCUUUACCAUUUGAGCUACCCAGAAAACACACAUCAUGUUAGAGGGCCUUAAAACCUGCCAGUUCUUGGUUAAACUUGACAGGUAUUCUGACCCUCCCUGGAAGAUCGCAUGAUAGGCUCCCCCGUAGGCCAAUGAUAUUACAAAUCCUUUCUUGCUAAGGAAAAUGCCAUUCUACCCAUGGCAUGACCAGUGAUCAGACACAGCCUUGACCCUGACACUAAUGCUCCCUUGUGUCUUAUUGCUGCAGAAGGAUGUGAGAACCACACUUCACACCAUGCCCAAGAGUCCUAGGGACUCUUUGAUCAGUAGUAUGAUGGGAACGUAGCUCGCAUGGCAGAGCCCCUGACAUCUGGGCACAUGCAGGCAACCCUUGCUCAUGGGCUCCUGCCACAAACCCAUCAAUCUAAGGCACCCGCACCCAGCACUCCAGCUUGGUUGGAGUGGGGAGGCUCAGAGCAUGGCCUAUAGCCUGAGAGAAGAUGCUGAGUCCAGGACAGCUGGAAGGAAGUGAAUUGGCCAAGACAUCAUGAAUUUACAGCCUAUGACCUGGGGUGCAGAGGGAGGAGGAGCCAGCCGUACCCCACAUCCAGCCUUUGGAGAGCCCAGCCUUCCUGGGUUUGGAUUGAACCAGGUUUUGGCAGCUGGAGUUGGGACUGUCCUAUCUCGUCCAUACUGAUCUCCACCAAGGAGGCCCUGAAGACACAGCUUCCUGCCUGUUUACCCACAGUCAGGAUGACUCAGGUGCUCCAAGAGCUGGCCAGCCUACACAGCUGGAGUGGGAGCUCGUCCUCUCCCAUUUCAGGAAAGUCUUAGAGGAAAAGCAAAGCCCCUAGUCACAGAGGUUGACCUGCAAGCUGGAGUUCUGGGUUCGGGUGCCUUAGAUUGAUGGGUUUGUGACAGGAGCCCAUGAGCAAGGGCUGCCUGCGUGUGUCCAGAUGUCAGGGGCUCUGCCACGUGAGCUACGUGUCCCAGGACGUAGCUCUGAGGACGUAACUGGGGCAGGUCUACCCCGACUCCUCUGCCACACCAAAGACACACACACCCAUCUCAGUACAGCGCUGUGCAAGAGCUCGCCUUGGCCCUGGAAGGCCCCAGAGUCCCAGAUCGUUCACCGACUCAUUCGUCUACACACUCAACAAACAGCUUGUGAGGAUGUCUGUGAGCCAGGCUCCGAGCCCAGAACUGGAACCACAGCGUGAACAAGACCGGCUCAACUCUGCCCAGGAAGAUUGCAGUCCAGUGGGCAAACUCAAUGAAGCAAAUACUCACAAAACCAUGUAAUUUCAAACAGCCAACACUGUAAGAGAAGAGAGAAACCCUCUGGGAGAUGUAUCCAGUGGCUCUAGCCUUGGCCUGAAAGGCACCUUCCCUCAGACCGUGAGUCUUCACGGGGAUGACAAGCGUGCUGUGAAAGGGGUAGUUAACAUGCCUACUGUGGGAGCCUAAGAAAAUAUGAUUCCACACAGGGCUCUUGCCUUCGGGCCAAAGGAGUUGCAGACCCGAGUGGGAUGAGGGAAAUCACUGCAGGGGCCUUAGUAUAAAAGGCCAAGAAAUCCAAGAUGGAGGGUGGAGAAAUGGUGGCCACCAAGGAAAAUGCUAGGGC